rnacentral:rRNA from 1 species
GUCUACAGCCAUGCCACUUUGAACGUGCCCGAUCCCGUCUGAUCUCGGAAGCUAAGCAGGGUCAGGCCUGGUUAGUAAUUGGAUGGGAGACCACCUAGAAUACCAGGUGCUGCAGGCG